UGUUCCUGAUGGCCACAUUCCCCUGAUGCAUUACAUACUUGCAGCAAGCACCGUGUAAAUACAAACAGAAAUGACUCAGAACUUCAGUUGAUCGUUUUAAAGCUGCAGAUAGCCUGUAAGUAGCAGGGAAAUGCGCCACUUAAGCUUCAUUAACCCUGAUGACAGUAUGGGAGGCUGACCACAAACACACAAAAAGGUUAUAAGUUGAAGAAAUAAGACCAGUUUCCAAAUAAAUGACAAAGAGCUUGGUAUUCCUGCAGGCAUCAGAAUCACCUGGAGGAGGAGAUGCUGCUGCUGGUGGUGGCCCAGAGACCACACAUUGAGAACCACUGCUCUAGAAAACCAUUUGUCUUUGCUGAUGGAGAAACCUGGCUCUAAUAGAAGGUCCUCUGUGGACAGUGAGCUGGACUGACCUCACAACCCUCCAGUAUGUGCAGUGGCUGAGAAUGACCCACUCCCAGCAACUUUCUGCAGCCAAGGGGUUAAUCCUCCCUGAGCUGAAGCCUGACAUGGGGGCUUGUAUGUGUCCAGGAAGUCUAGUGAAUUCGACCAUGAAUCCAGACAUGGCCAGUGGCUAAAUCCUGUGGGAAGACACUGUGCUUCUCUCUGACCCAUGAACACUCUGCUAGUCAAGCUCUCUGUCACAAAGACAACUUGAAGAGACAGAGUGGACCUCACAGAAGAUACCAUCGUCACUCUUACCAAUGCAACUGUGGUGAACAGGACCACUAUUAUUCCUUAGAUCAAAAGGACAGCACAUUCAACAGCAUCCUCAUGGCAUGCCAGCAAUUUGCAUAGGAUGUUCACAAUUAAACUUUGAUUAUCUAGUGCUUUGUGGAUGUAUUAUGUAUUACAGAAAUCUAUUUGCAACAUGGAGG
rnacentral:lncRNA from 1 species